GCGGCCUCGUCGUAGGAUACACACAACCUUGCCAAGGUUGGGGUCGAGGGUUCGAAUCCCUUCGCCCGCUCCA
rnacentral:tRNA from 2 species